GAACCCUUCGAAUGUGGAUGUCUUUCGUAACCAAGACAACCCAUAAAGAAAAUAUAGAAAAAUUUCAAUUCAAAGCUGUGUGAACGCGUUUUGAAAAGAAAUCAAAAAGAAAAUUUAAAAGAUAUAAAAAAAAUCUGUUUUUGCACAAUAUCCAAUGAAAUACCAUGAAAAAGAUGUGAAUUUUUAAUCGAAAAAAAUAUUCAACAUAUCAGCUACAAAAAAUAACAACAAUUAAACCUAACGUUUGAAUAAAAAAGUGAAAAAAGAAUCAAAUAAAUUUUUCACUAACAACGUUUUAAACAUUAACACAACCCACUCCAACUAAGUCGUUUUACUACAGACACGCUUAAAUAAUAAAUGUGUGUAAAAUUUAUGGAACAUGAUAAAAUUUUGUUAAAACAAUUCUGCCAUUAAACAAACAAAAAAAUAUAAAAUAUUUCUAUAUACAUAUAAAUGAAUUAAACACAAAGGCAAAAAAAAAAAAAAAAAAAAUUGUAGAAAUGAUGGCCAAAUCUAAAGUAAAUAAAAUAUAUGAACCAUGUAAUCAACAACAGAACCAGAUACACAAGCAGCAAACAGGAUUACUAAGUGACAAACAACAGCAGCGACGACGACAACAACUCUACACUAACAUUGGUCAUUAAUUAUACUGUGUGAAUUGUUAAAAAAAACAAGCAAGCAAACGUAUAAAUAAAAAACACCAAAAACAAAAGCCCUGUGUAUGUGUUUAACUAACAGUAUUGAGUAUUCCAAUAACAAAAACAAUAACAAAUAUAAUACCUUUGUUACAUUAACUACGUAAUAAUACAAAUAAUACAGCAUAACAAAG
rnacentral:lncRNA from 1 species